rnacentral:lncRNA from 1 species
UUCCUUUUUAUUGGGUCGGUUGAUAAUUAGUCAAGGCUCUAGAGCAUCUCUAAUAAGGGAUCUUGCAAGAAGAUCUUAAUAUCAAGAUUUGAUCUUGCUAAGAUUCAUUACUACAGCAGGAUGUUGGAUCUUCACGUGGAUCAGUACGGGUAGAAGAAUUGCAUCCAUUUAAAAAAAUUGAUUUUUUACUUUAUCUCUCUCCACAACAUUACACGGGAAGCAUCAACUAAUAAUAGAAAAAAAUGAAGCUUUAAGGAGAAGAACAACCAGAUACACAACAACAACAAUAGAUCUCAACCCUAAAUUGAACAAAAAUCAUCAACAAUUAAAAAAAUAGACUUGGAGAUGCUUGUCUUUGAAUCCAUUCGUUCAAGUUGUGUCGGCAUCACUGUCUUCUUCUUCGAGCUUGUGACGACAUUUGGUUGGCACUGAUUUGAAGGCAUAAUUGGAUGAAGGACCACCAAAUCUGCCUCUAUGCAAGGUCAUUUAGAGGGAGGAAAGGGUGGGGGCGGAGAAGAAAGGAAAACAAAAAAAAAAAAAAGGAGAGGGGGAGGGGGCACAACACAUUGGGGGAAGAAGGAUGAGGGUAAAGGGGGAGGCAUAAGAGAAAAAGAGAGAAGUAAGGGAAUAGAGAGUGGAGGCGGAGAAGGAAUGAGAAAGGAAAAAGAGGAGAAAGGGAGUAGAGGGUGAGAGCAAAGAAGGAAGGGAGAAAGAAAACAGAGGAGAGUGGGAGGGGGAGGGGGAACAAAAGAAAUACUAAGGGAGGAAGAGGGGGGAGGGAGAGAAGGUGUUUCAAUGAAUGUUGAUUGAAUUUUUUUUAAUACAAUUGCAUUUGCAAACUUAUUAU